rnacentral:rRNA from 1 species
AUCGAACGCUGGCGGCAGGCCUAACACAUGCAAGUCGAACGAGUGGCGGACGGGUGAGUAAUGUCUGGGAAACUGCCUGAUGGAGGGGGAUAACUACUGGAAACGGUAGCUAAUACCGCAUACCAUCGGAUGUGCCCAGAUGGGAUGAGCUAGUAGGUGGGGUAACGGCUCACCAAGGCGACGAUCCCUAGCUGGUCUGAGAGGAUGACCAGCAACACUGGAACUGAGACAAGGUCCAGACUCCUACGGGAGGCAGCAGUGGGGAAUAUUGCACAAUGGGCGCAAGCCUGAUGAAGCCAUGCCGCGUGUAUGAAGAAGGCCUUCGGGUUGUAAAGUACUUUCAGCGGGGAGGCGUUACCCGCAGAAGAAGCACCGGCUAACUCCGUGCCAGCCGCCGCGGUAAUUC